UGUCCUACGGGGGGCAGCAGUGAGGAAUAUUGGUCAAUGGCCGGAAGGCUGAACCAGCCAAGCCGCGUGAAGGACGAAGGUGCCAAGCAUUGUAAACUUCUUUUGUCAAGGGACAAAAUCAGGCUCGAGAGCCUGACCGAGGGUACUUGAAGAAAAAGCAUCGGCUAACUCCGUGCCAGCAGCCGCGGUAAUACGGAGGAUGCGAGCGUUAUCCGGAUUUACUGGGUGUAAAGGGAGCGUAGACGGCAGCGCAAGUCUGGAGUGAAAUGCCGGGGCUCAACCCCGGAACUGCUUUGGAAACUGUG
rnacentral:rRNA from 1 species